AACGAACGCUGGCGGCAUGAUUAACACAUGCAAGUCGAACGAAGCAUGAAACUUCGGUUUCAUGACUGAGUGGCAAACGGGUGAGUAACGCGUGGGAAUUUACCCUAUGGUGGGGGAUAACUGAGGGAAACUUCAGCUAAUACCGCAUAAGCUCUUCGGAGGAAGGAUUUAUCGCCAUAGGAAAAGCCCGCGUUAGAUUAGGUAGUUGGUGGGGUAAAGGCCUACCAAGCCUGCGAUCUAUAGCUGGUCUGAGAGGAUGAUCAGCCACACUGGGACUUAGACCCGGCCCAGACUCCUUCGGGGGGCAGCAGUGGGGAAUAUUGGGAAAUGGGCGAAAGCCUGAUCCAGCAAUGCCGCGUGCAGGAAGAAGUCCUUCGGGUUUUAAACUGCUUUUGUACGGAGCGAAAAGGUCUCCUCUAAUACAGGGGGCUCAUGACGGUACCGUAAGAAUAAGCACCGGCUAACUACGUGCCAGCAGCCGCCGUAA
rnacentral:rRNA from 1 species